UCUUAGCUGCACAAGUGUCUGCCAGUAUAAGUAUCCUCUCGGGAUCAGCUUGGAAAUAAUCUAAAUUUUGAUUCUCCUAAAAUUCAGCCUGCUGAAUCUGAAUGAAAUCUGGAUCGCGAUCAAUGCUUGUCUUUCUCCUUGAUCUUUUUCUUCUCCUCUUCUCUAGACUUUUCUCCUUGUUAUGUGCUACUACAAGACACCAGCAACCAGCCA
rnacentral:lncRNA from 1 species